rnacentral:rRNA from 1 species
AGUGGCGGACGGGUGAGUAACGCGUGAGAAUCUGCCUUGGGGUCGGGGACAACCACUGGAAACGGUGGCUAAUACCGGAUAAGCCGAUUGGUGAAAGAUUUAUUGCCCGAAGAGGAGCUCGCGUCUGAUUAGCUAGUUGGUGAGGUAAGAGCUCACCAAGGCAGCGAUCAGUAGCUGGUCUGAGAGGACGAUCAGCCUCACUGGGACUGAGACACGGCCCAGACUCCUACGGGAGGCAGCAGUGGGGAAUUUUCCGCAAUGGGCGAAAGCCUGACGGAGCAAGACCGCGUGAGGGAGGAAGGCUCUUGGGUUGUAAACCUCUUUUCUCAGGGAAGAAGCUCUGACGGUACCUGAGGAAUCAGCCUCGGCUAACUCCGUGCCAGUAGCCGCGGUAAUACGGAGGAGGCAAGCGUUAUCCGGAAUUAUUGGGCGUAAAGCGUCCGCAGGUGGCGAUUCAAGUCUGCUGUCAAAGCACGGGGCUUAACUCCGUAAAGGCAGUGGAAACUGAAUAGCUAGAGUGCCGUAGGGGUAGAGGGAAUUCCCGGUGUAGCGGUGAAAUGCGUAGAGAUCGGGAAGAACAUCGGUGGCGAAAGCGCUCUACUGGACGGCAACUGACACUCAGGGACGAAAGCUAGGGGAGCGAAUGGGAUUAGAUACCCC